CACCCCACAGGCAGCAAAAAAACACCCGAAAAGAAAACACUCCCAUCGAUCCCCUUCCAAUCGAUCCCUUUGUCGCCGCCCUCGCACUCGCGUCAAGCGCCCUCGAUCCCUGCGCUACCUCCCUUCGCCGCCGCUGCCACAGAUCCCUUCCCCGCUUCAGGAGCCGCCGAUGAUCCCUUCCAGGAGCCACGGGUAUCUUCUCUCUCGGGACGCUGCUCCGACACGAUCCGGUAAGGAGACAGGCCUCCGUGUGCGGCAACGAAGGCGGCGAGUGGCGGGCGACGGCCGACCCUUCACUCCGCCUCCGGCCCUCUCGGCCUCUCCUCCGCAAGUCCGCCUUCACCCACAUGCGCCCUCCACGGCUCCACGGCUGACGGCUCCAGUGCUCCACUCCCGGCAGUAUGGCACUGCCUUCGUCGCUGCAGUGGACUGCGUAGCCGUCAGACUUCGUCGCUGCAGUGGACUACAUCGAUCCAACCAUCCCUCAUACAUCUACUGAUCUACAAGCAUCAGCUAUCCACUCUGUUUUUAAACAAAUCUGAUUUUUUUUGUAAAUUACCACUGCCACUGAUUGCUAGAAGGAGUAGAACUCCAUACGUGACAUUAGAUUCGGCACCAGCUUCUAACCCGGUGUAUUACUAAUAGAAUUUGUUCACGGGAUCGCAUUCUGAGCAUGAGCUUGCCAUGCAUUUUCUCUGUUUCCGGCGUUGCCAGUUUACAUGUGGUCCUCCUAUAUCAGCCCGGUAGUUUCAGCAACGCGAUAUAUAUGUGGCCUCUUCGCCCACUUGAAAUGGUAGUACAUCUAUAUGUUUUGGCAGGCAUCUAUUUUGUAUGCUUGAUUAAAAAUGAGUUUUGAGUAUACAUUGUUUUGAGUAUACAUUGUACGUAGUGGAAGGAGCCGGCGCUGGAGCUGCGCGCUCCUGGACGGGGACGGCGGCCUGGACAUGCUCCAGGAGAUGUUCGUCGUGUCGAGCAUCCUACCCAUUGGCAGCCAGAGAUCCUCGACGGUUCCGUGUGGCCUUAACCGUCGCUAGGCUCCCUGCACGCAUGCCCCAACUCUUCUACCUCCUCUCAGGCAUGAUGUUAUAUCAAUGAAAACCUUGCAAGGUAAAAUGAUGGUCCUGAAUGGGUUAGACACAUAUACUGCAUCAAUGGAAACAAAGGCGACACCUCUCUCUAUUGUGCUUCUAUCUGUUCUGUGGAUCAAUUCAAAAUGUUGAUCGUUAUGGGUCGAUAAAAAAUGUCCAAAAUCUGAUGUGUGGUGAUCAGCUGGUCAAAAAAGUGACGGUGUGUGACGAUCGGACGACCGGAUAAUCGGACGUCUUCUUCUUCAAGCUCCCAGCAUGUCGUACUCUCCAUCUCUUGUCUCUUUCGCACGGCGGGGCAGAGGGAGUUGAUUGAGGACCGCAUCGUUGGCGACCCAGUUAUCUUCUUCUCCACUAUCUCGGUCAUGCACCCUUUGUCUAAUAUGCAAUGACACAUGGCAUUGACAGGUGCAAGCACGUGGCAGCGACUACGAUGCACAUUAGGCUACUGUUCUUCUACCGGUGCGCAGCGGCCGUGUGCCGCCGCCGAGCUCUUCAUUGGCGUCCUCCUGGUACACCAUCAUGCAGCACCAAGGUUAAAAAAAGCGCCAUAUUGUUGGUCCCUUUCAAUUGAAAUAUUCCUUUUAUAUGAUCAGGUCAUAAGUAUGUGAUCUGCAAGGUUUAUAUAAAAAAGGAUUUCCAAUUAUGAUAAGUUGUAGCUUAUUGAUCCCAACUGUUA